rnacentral:lncRNA from 1 species
UCUGCCUCCCGCGGCGGGCCGGGUCUCCAGGGAGGACCUGAGUUUUCUUCACCCAUGGUCAGGGAAGCGCCAUCGCCCUGGCUUUGAGGCUGGGGCCUCCGGGGAGGUUCCGGUAGGGGCUUUGAAGAGGCCGCUGUUUUUGCAAGGCCGAGACGGCGGGCCCUGCGCAGGCCGCCCUAUUCCGCGCCCUCAGGGCGUCAGUAUCCGCCUGAGGCCGGAUACCCCCUCUGGGCCCGGAUGCCCCCGCUGGCCCCGGAGCAUCCUCGGCGCUGCCCUCCCAGAGCCCCGCAGAGGCUGAGGUGGCGCGGGGGCGGCCCCGGCUCCGCGAGAAGCGGCGGCAGCGAGGGCUGGAGGACCCGGGCUACGGGGCUCCGGGGCGUCUGGCCUGGUUGGGACUGAGCCCAUCCAGGGACUGGGACUCUGGGAUUCUGGUGUAGGUGGAUCCGGGGCAGGCUCAGGACCAAGUCCCUCUCCUUCCACCAAGGAGCGCCCAGAGGCCGGCGGGAGCUCCAGGUUCACCUCCUCCUCCUCCAGGAAAUCUCACUUCCAACUGGAUGUCUGGAUGAACUACUGAAAGCUGCUGAGUGUCCUGCAGCAGGUGAGCUGUGGCCAGAGCCCAAGGAUGAAGGGGGCUCCCUCACUCUGUGACUGUGAAGAGGAAGCCUGAGGUGUAGCAGGCCCAGGCCCCAGAAGUAUGGAAAAAAUGAGCUUGACUACCACACAAAUGAAUCCACUCAAAUGUUGGCAAGUGGAGCAGAGUCCCAGGACAGGUACAGAAACACCCCCAGUUCAAGGAUCUUCACACCUGGAUUUAGGCCUACUCCUGCAACUACCCCAGAACCUGGAAUUUAUAUGUUCAACAUGGAGCCAUCCCAGCCAUGACAACAGAGAAUGUACCACUCUCACAGUUACUAUGAAUUAUUAUAUUGUGGCUACUUACACCAAGAUGAAGAUAAUUUAUUAGUUCAGGAAGAACCUGCAUUCUGAAGGCAAAUGGAAGUUCCAGCUACAGAUGGGCAGACACAUGCCCCCUCAAUUCCUGAUGGACCUCCUUGUGCCUCAUGGACCUAAGGGGCCUCCCUCAAUGUUUCAAGAUGCCACCAAGGCAGGGAUCAGCUAGUGCAUUCCUGAGAACAUCCAGGAUGAAUUGAGGCUCUGGAAAAAUGCAAGAGUUUCCACAUAAUCCCAAAAAACCCUACAGGUGAACUGGAUGCCACAGAAAGAGGAGUGGUCUUUGUCACAACAAAAUCAACAAAAUUAUUUCGAAGUCAAUUAGGAAACUCAGAAAUCACUCUUGCUGCCAUUAAGAGGAAGAACAGCAGCCUGUGAAUGGCAUCCCUGGCCUUCCCGAGACUCCACAGAUAUUUCUAUGUGGCUUCAGACACCAGAAAUCUCUGUGAUUUUCAGAAAGGCAGGGACAGCUCAUGCAAGCCCAUCCCUCUGCAGAAUGUGUCCCAGCAGAUCAG